UCGCAGGCUGCAACCCGCCCUGCGUGAAGUCGGAAUUGCUAGUAAUCGCGGAUCAGCAUGCCGCGGUGAAUACGUUCCCGGGCCUUGUACACACCGCCCGUCACACCAUGGGAGCCGGUAACACCCGAAGUCAGCAGCCUGACCAAUUCUGGAGGGCGCUGCCGAAGGUGGGAUUGGUGACUGGGGUGAAGUCGUAACAAGGUAAC
rnacentral:rRNA from 1 species